rnacentral:lncRNA from 1 species
UGGAAGCACCGUAGCCUAUUGGUUAAGGUUUAAAGGCUUCUACACCCAGGUCUGGGGUUCGAAUCCCAGACUAUGCAAUUUAUUGCAGAUUACAGGAAAUCCAGGUUUCAAGUCCCGGAGAGAGCGGUUUAUUAACCAAUUAUGCAGACUACAAAGGAAAGACUUGCAAGAGAUCUUCAACAUGGUGCAAGUAAAUCUGGUCAGGCGUGUAUCUUCAUAGGACAGCUCAGGUGCUGCAGUUAGGCGUAGAUCUUCAUAAGGCAGGUAGUAUUGUCGGUUGUCGAAUCGUCUAUGUAAUAUUUCCUAUAUCAUAAUUGUAAGAUCAUAAUAAAUCAGCGUUAAAAAAAAAAAAAAAGGUAUUCGCUAU